AGUCAAACCGAUCCCCAAAUACAAUGGAGCAGAUGAUGUUGGAAACAGCAUGGAUUAAGAAUUUACCAGGGUUGAAAGGUUUCUCUGCAACAGCAACAACAGAAAGGUCUUGCAGCAGGACAGACUGUUUAUUAGAGACUGCCAGAAGAAUACCAUGAAAACCCAAAGAAACUUCAGAUACCUGUGAUCAAAAGUAGAGUUUUGACAGCAUGGCUACAGAAUAUUCUAAGGAAAUAACUAUGAUGGAAGCGUGAGGAAAAGUGAGAUUAGAUCCAUGACAGACAGGAAAGUUGAACCUGGAGACUGCAGUAAGGUAUAUCUCAAGUAUGGAAGAUAAGAAUCAUCAAGAUUGGAAGGUAUAAAAUCCUGAAGGGAAAAAAGAGAGAACAGUUAAUGGAAAUGUUAUGGAUCAGCCUCUUCCAUGCAGCUCUGGAGCCAGCCCUUCUGUGCCUUGCCCAUGACUCCUUGUUGGCUGUACAGUGAGGCACAUACAGUGCAGAAUCAGUGAGAUGAAAAGAGCAUGUUUUCUCAGAUUCUCAGCAGGGAUUUUUAUCUGUGAAUCCAGACUGAAUUUUGUUACAGUCUCAUUGCAGGUCUGCAAGGUUUCCCAGCAGAUGCACGUCAGUGUCCUACCAUGUGUGUUCCUGAUCCUCUCCACCAGAAAACGAGCUUCCUCCUGGAUUCGCUCCUCAAUGCCCUUCUUCCCCAUUCCAAAAUCACGCAGGGUGGUGAGGGCAAAUCUUCGCAGUUGUCUCCAGGUCUCCCCAUUGCUGG